CAGUACUGAACCUAACGGGUUAAGCAUACCGCCUGGGAAGUAUAGUCGCAAGACCGAAACUCAAAAGGAUAGGCGGGGGAACAUACAAACAGUGGAUUAUCUCGAUUAAUUGGAUGAUAAACCAAGAAUCUUACCCGGGUUUGACAUCCUUAGAAUCUAAUAGAGAUAUUGGAGUGCCCAGUUUUGCUGGGAGCUAAGUGACAGGUGCUGCAUGGCCGUCGUCAGCUCGUGCCGCAAGGUGUUCGGUUAAUUCCGAUAACGAGCGCAACCCUUGUACUUAGUUAGAAAUGUCUAAGUAAACUGCCUGGGUAACCAGGAGGAAGGAGAGGACGACGUCAGGUCAUCAUGGCCCUUAUGUCCGGGGCAUCAGAGGUAAUACAAUGAGCUGAAACAAACUGAAGCGAAGGAGCGAUCUGGAGCAAAUCGGAUAAAACGGCUCUAAGUACGGAUUGCAGUCUGGAACUGACUGCAUGAAGUUGGAAUUGUUAGUAAUGGUGGGUCAGAAAACCACCGUGAAUAUGUCCCUGUUCCUUGCACUCACCGCCCGUCACACCAUGGGAGUUAUUUUUUUCUGAAGAUCUUUAUAGG
rnacentral:rRNA from 1 species